rnacentral:rRNA from 1 species
GUACGGCGAGUGAGCGGGAAGAGCACAAAUUUUAAAUCUACCUGGUUCUACCAGGUCGAGUUGUAAUUUGAAGAAACGUUUUUAAUGUUCCGGGUUGGUUUAAAUCCUUUGGGAUAAGGUAUCAUGGAGGGUGAGAAUCCCGUGUAUAUCAACCGCUGGGAUGUUAUUAAUACGUUCUCUAAGAGUCGAGUUGUUUGGGAAUGCAGCUCUAAAUGGGUGGUAAAUUUCACCUAAUGCUAAAUAUAAGCGAGAGACCGAUAGCGAACAAGUACCGUGAGGGAAAGAUGAAAAGAACUUUGAAAAGAGAGUUAAAUAGUACGUGAAAUUGUUGAAAGGGAAACGAUUGAAGUCAGUCAUGCCGGUGAGAAUCAACUUUGGGGAAGGGGGAUUUUUUUGAACCUAACCUUGAAGUGCACUUCUUCGCUUGGCAGGUUAGCGUCGAUUUUGAACGUCAUAAAAUGAUUGGGGGAAGGUAGCUCUUUCGGGAGUGUUAUAGCCCUUAAUUAAUGUGAUAUUUGGGAUCGAGGAUUGCAACGGAUACCUUUUUAGGCUAGCCGCCUGGCCUCUGAUUCGAUGUCGGGUUAUAGACAGCACGCUGACUAUGAUCUGAUUAUUGGUCAAAAGGUUAGAGCGAGCAUAAAUUCGUUAAGGACGCUGACGUAAUGGCUUUAAACGACCC